AUUGAACGCUGGCGGCAUGCUUUACACAUGCAAGUCGAACGGCAGCGCGGGCUUCGGCCUGGCGGCGAGUGGCGAACGGGUGAGUAAUAUAUCGGAACGUACCCUAGAGUGGGGGAUAGCCAGUCGAAAGAUUGGCUAAUACCGCAUACGAUCUCAGGAUGAAAGUGGGGGACCGCAAGGCCUCAUGCUCCUGGAGCGGCCGAUAUCUGAUUAGCUAGUUGGUGGGGUAAAGGCCCACCAAGGCGACGAUCAGUAGCUGGUCUGAGAGGACGAUCAGCCACACUGGGACUGAGACACGGCCCAGACUCCUACGGGAGGCAGCAGUGGGGAAUUUUGGACAAUGGGGGCAACCCUGAUCCAGCAAUGCCGCGUGAGUGAAGAAGGCCUUCGGGUUGUAAAGCUCUUUUGUCAGGGAAGAAAAGGCCUGGGCUAAUAUCCUGGGUUCAUGACGGUACCUGAAGAAUAAGCACCGGCUAACUACGUGCCAGCCGCCGCGGUAAUAC
rnacentral:rRNA from 1 species